AAUCAACGCUGGCGGCGUGCCUAACACAUGCAAGUCGAACGCGAGAGGGGCUUCGGCCCUGAUUGAGUGGCAAACGGGUGAGUAACGCGUGGGUGACCUACCUUCGAGUGGGGGAUAACGUUCCGAAAGGGACGCUAAUACCGCAUAACAUCCUGUCUUUGGACAGAUGGAGAUCAAAGCCGGGGAUCGUAAGACCUGGCGCUUGAGGAGGGGCCCGCGUCCGAUUAGCUAGUUGGUGGGGAAUGGCUCACCAAGGCAACGAUCGGUAGCCGGCCUGAGAGGGCGGACGGCCACACUGGGACUGAGACACGGCCCAGACUCCUACGGGAGGCAGCAGUGGGAAUUGUCGCAAUGGGCGCAAGCCUGACGACGCAACGCCGCGUGAAGGAUGAAGGUCUCGGAUUGUAAACCUCUGUUGAUCGGGACGAACAGCCAAGGGAUC
rnacentral:rRNA from 1 species